UUGCUAGCUUAUCUUCUCCAUUACACCACUGACCACACCUUCCCUGUUAACUAAACACAAAAACAAUCCUAUCUAUGAUAACCCUGACCUCUCUAUCCCUAUUUCACUAGCCACUUUAUGUCUCUUUGUCUCUCUGCCCAUUACCAUUUCAAAUCAAGACCAUCUCUCUAUCACUCUCACAACUUCUCUUCUCUCUAAUAAUUAGAAGUACGACUAUGAAGUCAAAAUCAAGGUUUAGAGACAUGGGAGACAAAUUCAGGCGACGUUGUAAGUGACUGUUCAUAUUGAAGACUUUGUAUCAUUGUUUGUCUACACCUGCAUCAGUCUGUCCUUCUCAGAUCAUUCGAUUAGUGAUCAGGUGAACAAAUAAUUUAUGUGUUUCUUUGCUUUACCUGCACACAUUUCUGAGAAUUGAACUUCUCCUCUGAGCAACCAGGUACUUGUGAAGCUGAAAUACACACCAAGGAAAGAGAGAAAAACGAGAAACACAAUCUGUGGUAGUGCCUAAACCCAGUUUUAUACUGGCGGUAUUGUUCUCUUAACUUUUUUUUUAUCUCAAAGGCUAUACCUAAUUUGUGCGCCGAACUAGUUGCUACUGACCAUUUUCAAACCCCUUCCAAGUAUGAUAUGUUUAUGCAUGAUUCCAUGACACUUGAGUAAAAUCUUCGAUAGCUGAAAUUCUUGUUUCACUGCACUGAGUUCGUGUCUGUAUGCAUCUCUGAAUCUGUUUUACUAGGUACUCUCUAGUUCUGCUGCAUAGUGUGUUUAUAAUUUAAAAAACUAGCUCUUGGUAUCCAUGAACACGACCCUGUGAUAGUUCGAGUAACACCUACGCUAACUGGAAUUGCCGUUUCACUGUGCUGAAUUGAUUCUGUGUGCGUAAUCUCUAUCUUUGGAAUCUCACAUGCAUUAUUUCCCUGUAGUGUGACUUGCUUGGUUGUUUGAUAGCCAUAACAUGUCAGGAUUUUGGACGGGCAUUAGGGAUAAAAAAUCAUCGCACAAACACAUUAGAGAACUCGAACAUGAGCAUGCUUCGCAUUUUGAGUUUCCAUUACACUAUGGUGUUGAUAAUUAUAGGGAUUAUUAUGGACCUUUUCUAGGUCUUGAGCCUCAAUAUGCAAACCCUAAUGAUUAUUCACAUAUGUAUCAGCCACCACCAGGGGAUGUGGAGCAAGUCUGUACUCCCCUGAUCCCUUUUAUGCAUUCUGUGAUGGAAAAUCUCAAACUCAUUGAAUAAAAUAAUGCUAGAUUUUAAUUGCAAGCAUUGCAUGAUCAUCCAUACAGCAACACAUCUGAAUCUCCGUUCGGUAGUGAACCUCAUGUACAACCAUAUACUGAAUAUCCAUAUGAAACGAGGAUACCCACUAUUGAAGACUCUCCUUCCAUUGGACAAAUUAAUAUGAUUCUUAAAAUGAACCUGAUUCAUUUACAAAGUGAAGAAAGGAAUAAAUUUCAUGAUGAGAUGUUUGUUAUUCCUAAUGAGGUAAAUUUUGAAAAUAGUGUUUAUGUUUCUACUCAAGAAACCAAUAUUGAAUAUGAACCUAAUCUAAAGGUAAAUGAGUGGACUAGGGACACUAUGGUUUUAAAAAGGACAUUGCAUCCUUGUUACGAUGAUGAUGAUAAUGAUUUAAUUUUAGAAGAGCAUGUUUACUCUGAAAAUGUUGUUGUGUAAUCUUAUGUUCCUAUAACCUUAGACUCCGUUGUUGCGACUUUGAAAAAUGAUGUUUCUUCUGAUUUUCUUAUCCGUAACUCUGAAAUUUUGGAUGAUAUUGAUAUGGAUUUGGGGAUUGAACAAUUGUUUUGUGGAAGUGUGCAUGAUACACAACUUGCAUCUGACCUAGGGAUGGCUGAAUUUUCUAUUGACACUGAUGAUCUUAUGCACAUAAAUUUUAUGUGUCUAAAUCCCUGCCUAGGUCAAAAUGUGUUGUGUCUUCUGAUUUUCUUAUGCAUGAGAUGGAGACUUUGGAUGAUCAUGAUACUGAUUUGGGUCUUGUUGAUUUGUUCUAUGAAUGUGAGAAUGUUGCGACACUUGCAGAUGAUUUAGGAGAUAUUGGUGUGACUAAUAAUGAUGUGCCUAAUAAUGAUGCUUAAGUCGCAAACUGAGACUCUUCCACCCAACCUAGAUUUGGUUUGUAACAAAAUUGUAAAACCAUCUUUUCUAAGAAUACCUGAUCUAGGAUUAGAACUGUGUGCUUCUCAAGUUCUUUUGGACCAUUUUGCAUCUAAAUAUAACAUCUCUAAGGAUCCACAGUUGGAAUGUGUGUCACUGCCCGUUCCUAACAUAGUUCAUUUUGAACUAGAUCUUCUGCACGAUGCACCCCUUAAAUUGUUAGAUUUUGUGCCCAAAAGUAUAUUUGCUGAAAAAUCUAGGUUUGGGGGUAGCUCAUCUUUUCUGGCAGCCUCACUUAAAUUUCUGUCAUGUUAUAAAUGUGUGAGGUUAUAAAAAUUUCUACAUACUGUCUUUUGGGUUGAUCCUCAACUCUUUAGGUUGUAUGUGUAUGGUGAAGUUUUCUUGUAUAUAAUCCAGUAGGUGAUGUUUCAGUUGAGUCUUAUGUUUUCUUUGUAUAUAUUGUGCUAAUCCAAUGUGAUCUCAGCUGGAAAAUGUUGGAUUCUAGCCGCGAAUAAUGGAGUUCGGUUCUUUCUUUCGUCAAAUCUGGUAAUCUCUUUCCUUUUUCUCAAACUCAGCAUGUUUCUCCUGGUAUGUUACAGUUAUAAUUCUGUUGAUCAUUAGAAACAUUGAGGACAAUGUUUAGUUUAGGUUAUGGGGUGAAAAGUAGAUACCAUAUGACUGAUCGCAUGCUAUAAUUGAAAACAGAAAUCUUUCUUUUUGCUAUAAAAAAAUAAAAAAAAUGAAAAAUGGAGCUCAUUUACCUUGAAUUGUGAUACCUGGGCAUGUAUGAUAUCUUAGGAUUCUUAGUCUAGAUGAUGAGGCACCCAUGAUUCUAGCACAAUUCACAUGUGAUAUAGAAAAUUUGCACAUGCACAAUCAACCAAGCGUGUAUAGCGUCGGUGUUUCAUAGGUUAAGUAGGUUGCCAAUCAUCUAGAAUACUGAAUGAGACUUGACUAGCUUGUUCUUUGGUUGGAUGGGAUAGAAGUUGGAGGAUACAUUAAGAAAAACAACUAUUGAAUUUGACCGGGUGCAUCGAAAAGGGAUGCCUCUUGCUAAAAGUGUCAUGUAAUGUAUUUUUCUGUUUUUGUGUAAAGUUAUCGUGUCAUCGUGUGUAUCUCUUGUUAUUCCAAAAUCAAUUCAAAUGAAAAGGAAAAAAAAUCAUAAAAAGAAAAAGAAAAGAAAAUUUCAAAGCCAAAAAAAAAAAAAAAAAAAAAAAAAAAAAAAAAAAAAAAAAAAAAAAAAGAAGUAUCCAUUGUCUGUUAUUAUAUUUUGUUUCAAUAAAAAUGUUAAAGUGUCUCUCCUGCCUCAAAAUGAGAGUAGUCAAUGUAAAUAUUGCACUCAAUGUUCUUUGUUGUUAUGUGUUGUAAAUAGUCUUGUAAUAUGCAAGGAGGGUAUAGCCAUCGAUGUACAACGCGGGUAAACUGAAAUAUCACCAACUCUUAGGUGAACAUUCACAAUUCUCGUAAAGACGGACAUCUAGCUUGUAUUUGAAUUCAGUUCUUAGCCUAAAAACUAUCUCUUAGUAAUUGGCAGUCAUAACUUCCUACAGUAAACCAUUCUCUAUGCAUGUCUAAGGUGAUACACUUUACACUCUUAUCACAUGUCUUCAGUUGUUCCAGUGCUAGAAUUGUGCCUUUUGAAAGCUAGAUUGACAUAUCCAUUUGCUGCGAGCUAAAACUGAAUGCAGGUAUCACUUUCAUGGAAUCUGAGCUUAUAUUUUAUCCUAGAACUUUUUGGGUAUUUUUUGUCGAGCGAUAGUGGUAUAGGUAGGACUUUUCUUUUAGUUUUGUGUUUUACUCGCGGACGAGCAAAAUUCAGGUUUGGGGGUGUGAUCAGUGCCUAAUAAUGCAUAUUUCAGAUCAUUUUGUUGUCUUUUGUCACAUCUCAAAUGCUUUAAUAUCCUAUUUUUGUGUCAAAUUAUGCAUUUUGCGUCUCGAGGUAUCAAUAAUCUUUAUUUUGUUGUAAAUAUUGAUAUUUGUGUAUGUUUUGUUUUUGUAGGAUUCAUAAAUAUAAGGAGGAUCAUAAAGUGAGCAGUUGAUUGGAGGUCAGAGUGGUAACAGUAAAGAGAGUGGAGCUAAUACGUGGACUACAGAAGGAUCAACUCAUAGCAGAAAUAAGAUGGACCAAAUGUGGGCUUAAUCCUUGUUUUGAAAAUGAGGAAACAAGUUUGAACUUCAUCUAUCCACAUAAACCAUGCCCUAGGAAAUUUUACCAUCGACAUUUCCAAGGGUAAAGAAACGAAUUUGCUAGCUUCUCUUUCUCCCUUACACCACCGACCACACCUUCCCUGUCAACUAAACACAAAAACAAUCCUAUCUAUGAUAACCCUGACCUCUAUAUCCCUAUUUCACCAGCCACUUUCUGUCUCUUUGUCUCUCUGCCCAUUACCAUUUCAAAUCAAGACCAUCUCUAUCACUCUCGCAACUUCUCUUAUCUCUACUGAUUAGAAGUACGGCCAUGAAGUCAAAAUCAAGGUUUAGAGACAUGGGAGACAAAUUCAGGCGGCGUUGUAAGUGACUGUUCAGAUUGACGACUUUAUAUCAUUGGUCAGUUCCAAAAAAUCAAAUCCCUAAUUUUUUGAUUGUAUUUGUUGACUAGAGGGAUUGUUAGACUUGAAUAUUUUGUAUAAAUAGGGGAGGCACUGAUAUUUUGAAGAUAAGCUCGGAGUAGCCGGUGCAACUUGCAGUAGUAAAUUAGGUUUAAUUUCAUCUUGUAUCAUGUUCUAAACAACUUUGUUAUGGCAUAGAUGAAGCCCUUAAUUUACUGCUAGCUUAUUCAUGUUUUCAA